UCAACAACGGAUCUCUUGGUUCCGGCAUCGAUGAAGAACGCAGCGAAAUGCGAUAAGUAAUGUGAAUUGCAGAAUUCCGUGAAUCAUCGAAUCUUUGAACGCACAUUGCGCCCUCUGGUAUUCCGGGGGGCAUGCCUGUUCGAGCGUCAUUUCAACCCCUCAAGCCCGGCUUGUGUGAUGGACGACCGUCCCGCCCUCCCUACUCCAGGGGAGGGGGACGCGCCCGAAAAGCAGUGGCCAGGCCGCGAUUCCGGCUCCUGGGCGAAUGGGCAACAAACCAACGCCUCUAGGACCGGCCGGUUUUCUGGCCUAGUUUUAGUUAGGGAUGAACUUCCCUACAAUCAGG
rnacentral:rRNA from 1 species